rnacentral:rRNA from 1 species
UGGGGAAUCUUGGACAAUGGGGGCAACCCUGAUCCAGCCAUGCCGCGUGAGUGAUGAAGGCCUUAGGGUCGUAAAGCUCUUUCGCCUGUGAAGAUAAUGACGGUAGCAGGUAAAGAAACCCCGGCUAACUCCGUGCCAGCAGCCGCGGUAAUACGGAGGGGGUUAGCGUUGUUCGGAAUUACUGGGCGUAAAGCGCACGUAGGCGGACCAGAAAGUUGGGGGUGAAAUCCCGGGGGCUCAACCCCGGAACUGCCUCCAAAACUAUUGGUCUAGAGUUCGAGAGAGGUGAGUGGAAUUCCAAGUGUAGAGGUGAAAUUCGUAGAUAUUUGGAGGAACACCAGUGGCGAAGGCGGCUCACUGGCUCGAUACUGACGCUGAGGUGCGAAAGUGUGGGGAGCAAAACAGGAUUAGAUACCCUGGUAGUCCACACCGUAAAACGAUGAAUGCCAGUCGUCGGGGUAGCAUGCUAUUCGGUGACACACCUAACGGAUUAAGCAUUCCGCCUGGGGAGUACGGUCGCAAGAUUAAAACUCAAAUGAAUUG